rnacentral:lncRNA from 1 species
UGAGAGCUGAUAACACCAUUCAACCCGACGAUGGGACACAUGUCGCGGUGAUCAGCGCCUGCUCCACACUUGCUACCGAAUCCAGCGAGAAGAGGGAGAGAGCUCUACACAUCGGGAUGCAAGUCCAUUCAGUACUGAGCAAGGAGAAGAAACAUCUAGGUCUGUUCGUGGCGAAUUGCCUGGUAGACAUGUACUGCAAGUGUGGCGAGCUUGAGGAGGCUCGCAAGGUUUUCCACUCCAUGGGAACUCGGAGUGUUGUGUCCUACACCGCGAUCAUCCAGGGCUGCAACACGAACGGGCGAGCUGAACUUGCUCUGGAGUACUACUCUGCCCUGAGAGUUGAUAACACCAUUCAACCCGAUGAUCGGACUCAUGUCGCGGUGAUCAGCGCCUGCUCCAGACUUGCUACCGAAUCCAGCGAGAAGAGGGAGAGAGCUCUACGCAUCGGGAUGGAGAUCCAUUCAAUUCUGAGCAAGGAGAAGAAACAGGUAGAUCUGUUCGUGGCGACUUGCCUGGUAGACAUGUACUGCAAGUGUGGCGAGCUUGAGGAGGCUCGCAAGAUUUUCCACUCCAUGAGAACUCGGAGUGUUGUCUCCUACAAUGCGAUCAUCCACGGCUGCAACACGAACGGGCGAGCUGAACUUGCUCUGGAGUACUACUCUGCCCUGAGAGCUUGUACCACCAUUCAACCCAACGAUCGGACUCAUGUCGCGGUGAUCAACGCCUGCUCCACACUUGCUACCGAAUCCAGCGAGAAGAGGGAGAGAGCUCUACGCAUCGGGAUGCAAGUCCAUUCAGUACUGAGCAAGGAGAAGAAACAUCUAGGUCUGUUCGUGGCGAAUUGCCUGGUAGACAUGUACUGCAAGUGUGGCGAGCUUGAGGAGGCUCGCAAGAUUUUCCACUCCAUGGGAACUCGGAGUGUUGUGUCCUACACCGCG